UGCAGUCGACGGUGAGGAGAGCUUGCUCUCUGGAUCAGUGGCGAACGGGUGAGUAACACGUGAGCAAUCUGCCCCUGACUCUGGGAUAAGCGCUGGAAACGGCGUCUAAUACCGGAUACGAGCUGCGACCGCAUGGUCGGCAGUUGGAAAGAAUUUCGGUCAGGGAUGAGCUCGCGGCCUAUCAGCUUGUUGGUGAGGUAAUGGCUCACCAAGGCGUCGACGGGUAGCCGGCCUGAGAGGGUGACCGGCCACACUGGGACUGAGACACGGCCCAGACUCCUACGGGAGGCAGCAGUGGGGAAUAUUGCACAAUGGGCGAAAGCCUGAUGCAGCAACGCCGCGUGAGGGACGACGGCCUUCGGGUUGUAAACCUCUUUUAGCAGGGAAGAAGCGAAAGUGACGGUACCUGCAGAAAAAGCACCGGCUAACUACGUGCCAGCAGCCGCGGUAAUACGUAGGGUGCAAGCGUUAUCCGGAAUUAUUGGGCGUAAAGAGCUCGUAGGCGGUUUGUCGCGUCUGCUGUGAAACCCCGAGGCUCAACCUCGGGCCUGCAGUGGGUACGGGCAGACUAGAGUGCGGUAGGGGAGAUUGGAAUUCCUGGUGUAGCGGUGGAAUGCGCAGAUAUCAGGAGGAACACCGAUGGCGAAAGGCAGAUCUCUGGGCCGUAACUGACGCUGAGGAGCGAAAGGGUGGGGAGCAAACAGGCUUAAAUACCCUGGGNAGUCCACCCCCGUAAACGUUGGGAACUAGUUGGGGGGGGGCCCAUUUCCACGGUCUCCGGGACGCAGCUAACGCAUUAAGUUUCCC
rnacentral:rRNA from 1 species